GGAGGAGGCAUCGGGGGAGGAGGUGGAGGCAUCGGAGGAGGCGGAGGAUUUCCAUUCCCAGGAUAUCGUGAAGGAGAAGAGGAAGACCAUCAUUCUGGAAGACAACUAGCAAUCAUUCUGGGAGGAGGUGCCGCCGCUGUGCUGGUUGGGCUUAUCUUGCUGGCGCUGCUUGGGGGCAUGCGGAGAAAGGACGAUUACUGAGGGGAAUUUCGGAUCAAGGGGCUUCCUUUGCCUUUUCCAACUCUUUCAAGAAAUAUGACCUUUCCUUUUCUUUUCCCCUAAUUUUUUGUACCAAUUUGCG